rnacentral:lncRNA from 1 species
GUUCAAUGUCAUUAGCCAUUAAGGAAAUGUAAAUUAAAACUACAGUGAGAUAUUACUACAUACAUAAUCAGCAUGGCUAAAAUAACAAUAAGUGACAACAUCAAAUGCUUGUCAAGCUGCAGAGAAAGCGGAUCACUCACUCAUUCCUGGUGGAAAUGUAAUAUGCUGUAGCCACUCUGGAAAAUAGCGUAGCAGUUUCUUAAAAAUCUAAACUUCACACUUCCUUAAAACACAACAAUUGCACUCUUGAGCGUAUACCUCAUAGAAAUGAAAAUUUAUGUUCACACAAAAACCUGUACAUGAGUGCUUAUAGUAGCUCUAUUUGUAAUGACUAAAACCUGAAAACUACCUGGAU